rnacentral:rRNA from 1 species
AGCAGCCGCGGUAAUUCCAGCUCCAAUAGCGUAUAUUAAAGUUGUUGCAGUUAAAAAGCUCGUAGUUGAAUUUCGAGAUCAGUACGCUGGUCGUGCCUUCGGUAUGUACUGGUGUCACUGGUUUCUCCCUUCUGAAGAACCGUUAUGUCAUUUAUUUGGUGUCGUGGGGAAUCAGGACUGUUACUUUGAAAAAAUUAGAGUGUUUAAAGCAGGCUCACACUUGAAUACAUUAGCAUGGAAUAAUGAAAUAGGACGUUUGAUUCUAUUUUGUUGGUUUCUAGGAUCGACGUAAUGAUUAAUAGGGAUAGUUGGGGGCAUUAGUAUUCAAUUGUCAGAGGUGAAAUUCUUGGAUUUAUUGAAGACUAACUACUGCGAAAGCAUUUGCCAAGGAUGUUUUCAUUAAUCAAGAACGAAAGUUAGGGGAUCGAAGACGAUCAGAUACCGUCGUAGUCUUAACCAUAAACUAUGCCGACUAGGGAUCGGAUGAUGUUAAUUUUUUAAUGACUCA